GACGAACGCUGGCGGCGUGCUUAACACAUGCAAGUCGAACGAUGAACCCGGAGCUUGCUCCGGUGGAUUAGUGGCGAACGGGUGAGUAACACGUGAGUAACCUGCCCUUGACUCUGGGAUAACUGCGGGAAACUGUAGCUAAUACCGGAUACGACCCUCGGCGGCAUCGCCAGGGGGUGGAAAGAAUUUCGGUCAAGGAUGGACUCGCGGCCUAUCAGCUAGUUGGUGAGGUAACGGCUCACCAAGGCGACGACGGGUAGCCGGCCUGAGAGGGUGACCGGCCACACUGGGAGUAAGAAACGGCCCAGACUCCCACCGGAGGCAGGAGGGGGGAAUGUUGCACAAUGGGCGCAAGCCUGAUGCAGCAACGCCGCGUGAGGGAUGGCGGCCUUCGGGUUGUAAGCCUCUUUUGGUAGGGAGGAAGCGAAAGUGACGGUACCUGCAGAAAAAGCACCGGCUAACUACGUGCCAGCCGCCGCCGUAA
rnacentral:rRNA from 1 species